rnacentral:rRNA from 1 species
UGCAGAAUCCCGUGAACCAUCGAGUCUUUGAACGCAAGUUGCGCCCGAAGCCUAUGGCUGAGGGCACGUCUGCCUGGGCGUCACGCAUCGCGUCUCCCCUACAAAUCACCUUGAUUUUGGGGGAAGGAGGAUGGCUUCCCGCGCCUCACCGGGCGCGGCUGGCCUAAACUCGGAGCCAACGGCACGGAGCUGCUGCGGCGACUGGUGGUGAACAAGGCCUCGGCCGCGCAAACAACCCGCUGUGGAAGCCCGCGCUAAUUUGGACUCGUCGGACCCUUGGACGGUGCUUCUAGCACCGCAAACCUUUGCGACCCCAGGUCAGGCGGGGCUACCCGCUGAAUUUAAGCAUAUCAAUAAGCGGAGGAAAAGAAACUUACGAGGAUUCCCCUAGUAACGGCGAGCGAACCGGGAACAGCCCAGCUUUAAAAUCGAGCGGCCUCGCUGCUCGA